rnacentral:rRNA from 1 species
UGGGGAAUUUUGGACAAUGGGCGAAAGCCUGAUCCAGCAAUGCCGCGUGUGUGAAGAAGGCCUUCGGGUUGUAAAGCACUUUUGUCCGGAAAGAAAUCCUUGGCUCUAAUACAGUCGGGGGAUGACGGUACCGGAAGAAUAAGCGCCGGCUAACUACGUGCCAGCAGCCGCGGUAAUACGUAGGGUGCAAGCGUUAAUCGGAAUUACUGGGCGUAAAGCGUGCGCAGGCGGUUUGCUAAGACCGAUGUGAAAUCCCCGGGCUCAACCUGGGAACUGCAUUGGUGACUGGCAGGCUAGAGUAUGGCAGAGGGGGGUAGAAUUCCACGUGUAGCAGUGAAAUGCGUAGAGAUGUGGAGGAAUACCGAUGGCGAAGGCAGCCCCCUGGGCCAAUACUGACGCUCAUGCACGAAAGCGUGGGGAGCAAACAGGAUUAGAUACCCUGGUAGUCCACGCCCUAAACGAUGUCAACUAGUUGUUGGGGAUUCAUUUCCUUAGUAACGUAGCUAACGCGUGAAGUUGACCGCCUGGGGAGUACGGUCGCAAGAUUAAAACUCAAAUGAAUUGACGGGGUCAUAGCUGUUUCCU